UACGUAGGGGGCAAGCGUUGUCCGGAUUUACUGGGCGUAAAGGGCGCGUAGGCGGCCACCGCAAGUCAGUUGUGAAAUCUCUGGGCUUAACCCAGAAAGGUCAACUGAUACUGCGGGGCUAGAGUGCAGAAGGGGCAACUGGAAUUCUCGGUGUAGCGGUGAAAUGCGUAGAUAUCGAGAGGAACACCUGCGGCGAAGGCGGCUACCUGGACCGGUUCUGACGCUGAUGCGCGAAAGCGUGGGUAGCAAACAGG
rnacentral:rRNA from 1 species